AACGUAGGGGACAAGCGUUAUCCGGAUUUACUGGGCGUAAAGCGCCCGUAGGCGGCCUGACAAGUUGGACGUGAAAGCUCCUGGCUUAACUGGGAGAGGCCGUUCAAAACUGUCAAGCUAGAGUCUGGAAGAGGCGAGUGGAAUUCCUGGUGUAGCGGUGAAAUGCGCAGAUAUCAGGAGGAACACCAAUGGCGAAGGCAGCUCGCUGGGACGGUACUGACGCUGAGGCGCGAAAGCGUGGGGAGCAAACAGG
rnacentral:rRNA from 1 species